UAAGCUGUUCCUUUUCAGCGGUUGUGGCGGAAACAGUAACCGAUUCAACACGGAACUAAAGUGCCAGGAAACCUGCCUACCUGGCAAGACGCCGCAGUCUCUCUGCAGCCUUCUACCAAGCCCGGUGCGAUGCAAAAAGCCAUUUUGUUUACGUUGGUACUUCAACCCCAAAACACACCUAUGCCAGAAGUACGGGCGUGGUUACGGUGCAGGAAAUGUGAACAGUUUCUCGACAUGCGUAAAAUGCAUGACUAGAUGUAGCAUUAUUCAAGCUGUGGAGACCUGUCGCUUGAUUCACAAAAAAAUGGAAGACAUGAAGAAACACAGGGGCAGAAGACUGGACUGACAAUAUACCGAACUUUGUAAGUGUGCAGCAUUUUAUGGGUCCGGCAUCUAACCCAUUCAUGGAUUUCAUGUGGUGUCAUCCGGCUGAAAAUAAA